AGAGUUUGAUCAUGGCUCAGGAUGAACGCUGGCGGCGUGCCUAAUACAUGCAAGUCGAACGGAGAUUGUAGCAAUACAGUCUUAGUGGCGAACGGGUGAGUAACGCGUUGGUGACCUGCCCCGAAGAGAGGGAUAACAGUCCGAAAGGAUUGCUAAUACCGCAUGUGAUCGAGGUUUCUAGAAAGCCUUGAUUAAAGACGAAAGUCACUUUGGGAGGGACCUGCGUCCCAUCAGCUAGUUGGUAAGGUAACGGCCUACCAAGGCUAAGACGGGUAGGGGACCUGAGAGGGUGAUCCCCCACAAUGGCACUGAAACACGGGCCAUACACCUACGGGUGGCAGCAGUAGGGAAUAUUGGGUAAUGUGCGAAACGGCGACCCAGCAACGCCGCGUGUGCGAUGAAGGCCUUCGGGUCGUAAAGCACUUUUUAGAGGGAUGAGGAAGGACAGUACCUCUAGAAUAAGCCUCGGCUAACUACGUGCCAGCAGCCGCGGUAAAACGUAGGAGGCGAGCGUUAUCCGGAUUUACUGGGCGUAAAGCGCGUGUAGGCGGUUUGGUAAGUUGGAUGUGAAAGCUCCUGGCUUAACUGGGAGAGGUCGUUCAAAACUACCAGACUUGAGAGUGAUAGAGGGAAAUGGAAUUCCGGGUGUAGUAGUGAAAUGCGUAGAUAUCCGGAGGAACACCAGUGGCGAAAGCGAUUUUCUGGCUCAUUUCUGACGCUCAAACGCGAAAGCUAGGGUAGCAAACGGGAUUAGAGACCCCGGUAGUCCUAGCCGUAAACUAUGUGAACUUGGCGUCGGCGGGUUCAAAUCCGUCGGUGCCGUAGCUAACGCGAUAAGUUCACCGCCUGGGGACUACGGCCGCAAGGUUAAAACUCAAAGGAAUUGACGGGACCCCGCACAAGCAGCGGAGCGUGUGGUUUAAUUCGAUGUUACACGAAGAACCUUACCAGGGUUUGACAUGCAAGUGGUAGGAAAUGGAAACAGGACCGACCUUCGGGGAGCUUGCACAGGUGUUGCAUGGCUGUCGUCAGCUCGUGUCGUGAGAUGUUCGGUUCAGUCCGCUAACGAGCGCAACCCCUACUGUGUGUUACAAGUGUCACACGGAACUGCCGGUCUUAAACCGGAGGAAGGUGGGGAUGACGUCAAGUCAGCAUGACCUUUAUGUCCUGGGCUACACACACGCUACAAUGGCCAACACAACAGGUUGCUAAGCCGCGANGCGGAGCCAAUCCUUAAAGUUGGUCUCAGUUCAGAUUGCAGGCUGCAACCCGCCUGCAUGAAGAUGGAGUUGCUAGUAACCGCAGGUCAGCUAUACUGCGGUGAAUACGUUCCCGGGGUUUGUACACACCGCCCGUCACGUCAUGGGAGCUGGUAACACCUGAAGCCGGUAUCCUAACCGCAAGGAGGGAGCCGUCGAGGGUGGGAUUGGUGACUGGGACGAAGUCGUAACAAGGUAGGUGUACCGGAAGGUGCGGCUGGAUCACCUCCUU
rnacentral:rRNA from 1 species